rnacentral:snRNA from 1 species
AUCGCUUCUCAGCCUUUUGGGUAAGAUUAUGUGUAGUAUCUGUUCUGAUCAGUUUAAUAUCUGAUAUGUCCUCUAUCUGAGGACAAUAUAUGUAUAUUUUUUUUAGACAGAGCCUGAAGCUAUCCCCCUGGGUAGAGUGCCAUGGCAUCACAGCUCAUAGCAAUCUCCAACUCCU